CCUACGGGUGGCAGCAGUGGGGAAUAUUGCGCAAUGGGCGAAAGCCUGACGCAGCGACGCCGCGUGAGGGAUGAAGGUUUUCGGAUCGUAAAACUCUUUCAGACGGGAAGAAGUUGCAUGGGGCCAUUCACCUGUGCAUUGACGGUACCUUCAAAGGAAGCACCGGCUAACUCCGUGCCAGCAGCCGAGGUAAUACGGAGGGUGCGAGCGUUAAUCGGAAUUACUGGGCGUAAAGCGCACGGAGGGUGUAUGUCAAGGCCAGGGUGAAAUCCCACGGCUCAACCGGGGAACUGCCUUUGAAACUGGCAGACUGGAGUAGGAGAGAGGGAGGCGGAAUUCGUGGUGUAGGGGUGAAAUGCAUAGAUAUCAGGAGGAACAUCAGUGGCGAAGGCGGCCGCCUGGCACAACACUGACGCUGAGGUGCGAAAGCGUGGGUAGCAAACAGGAUUAGAUACCCGAGUAGUC
rnacentral:rRNA from 1 species